AAUUAUUGUUGGCGGGACAAACCGAAACCCCCAAAAUUAACCCCCAAAACAAACCCCCCAAACAAAAUCCUCUCCAAUCUCACUCCAAUCUCACUCCAGUCUCUACUCUCACGCUACUGUCACUCUUCUCUCCUCUCCUCUCUCACGCUGUAAAUCUUUUCGUCUUUCACGCUGCGAAUCCUUAAUAUUAAUUAAGGUAAAAUCUGUAUCUUUGUCCUAAUUCAUGUGCUAAUAUUUUGAUUAGGGCUUUGUGUUCUUAUUUUGUGCUGUUUAGAGCCUAAUUUUUUUAGGGUUUUGUAUCUUGUUUUGUGUUCUUUUUCUUUGUUCUUAUUUUGUAUCUUAAUUUGUUCGAUUAGGGUAAGAUUUUGAGAAUUAUUAAUGUUGCUUUGUAUCCACUAUGUUAGUUUGUUCUAUUUUUUGUCUUGUACCUUGCUCUGUAUCUACCAUGUUAGAUUGUACGUUUUUAUUGAAUCAUUUGAUUAAAAUGUACUGUAAAUGUGGUGAUGAUGUUGUUGCCCGCCAACUGUUUGAUAAAAUAUCAGAGAUGUGAAAUAAUAUAGUUUCUAAAUAUGUUAAGUUGGGGAUGGUGGGUGCUGCUAGGAGGUUGUUUGAUCAAAUGCCGGUGAGGGAUGUUGUGUGGUGGAAUAGUAUGAUUGUUGGGUAUGUCAAGAGUUGGGAGUUUGGCGAGUACGUGAGGGUUUUUAAGGAGUCGAGGAGGUCGUCGAUUGGGUUUAAUGAGUUAGCUUUUAUGGGGUUUUGACUAUUUGUGUUAAAGGUAAGGACUUUGGGUAAGAAGGUUCAUUGUGGGGUUUUGAUUUAUGGGUUUUUUUGUCGAAUUUGGUAAGGAUUUAUGGUAACAAUGUUACAAGCGCUAAUGUACAGGCUACUUUAUAGGUGCGGACACCAGACUUCCGAAAGCAGUACAGAGGCAUAUAUAGGUUAGUUUUUCCUACAUCAUGUAGAACUAAAAUGAGCUAACGAUUGUGACUUUUAUUGAUUUUGUACAAAGACAUAGUAAUCACAAGUUACUGCAUAAUGAUUGUUUUACAAUUUAUCUACCUAAUAGAUAUCUUUUUAAUAUAGCCACCUUCAACUCUAUAGAUAUCCUAUACUUGUUGCUUGUUAGUUAGCAUAAUAACUCAAGUACGGCGUACAUACAACAAAUAUAUAAAUAGGAACUACAUCACAUUUAUAUCUGAUCACAUUCUAACAUAUAUGAGUUUGAAGACAUUCUACUAGAGAUGAAUAUGCAGAUACGCUCGGCAGUCUAGGAAGUCUCCAGGCACUUACCCACACCUAUAUAUAAUAAGUGGAAGAAGCCGUAACAAGGUAUGUAGCACUUGAGUUAUUUCAGAGAAUGUGUACCUUGUUCGAAAUAUACUCUGCUCAGAGUCACAGAAUGAAGGUGUAUGAAUUUCUAAAGAUAAAGGAGGUACUACACGCAGGGAGCCAUGGGAUGGACAUUAUUGGACCUCCGCAGCAAGCUAACACUUCCUAUGGUGGCAAGUAUGAGACCAUUACCUUGGAUGAAAAUUUAUAAGGGUGCAAUUUUAUUAUAUCAGCUGGAAAUAAUCUGCAUAUGCACUAAUAGACACUAAAAUGAUCUUUUAGGAUCAAAAUUAUGUGACAUUCCAACCUGCUCAAGAAUUUCAACCUUAAAUCGAGAAGGUAUGGCAACCCUGUAAUAUCUUUGCAUAUAUGCAAGAACAUAGAUUUAUGUAUGAGCCUGUAGCAUAACAUGAUUUGAAGAAGUUAGAAAUUAAAAUUUACUUACUUAAUUUGUGAAUGAUGCAGAUGUUGAUAAAGCUGGAGAAAAAAACAAGUGAAAUCAACGGAGUUAUGAUCAAGCAUAACAAGGUCUGCAUUUGUGUGCAGUAGUGUGCACUACUGUCAUGUAAAAGAACAGGUAUACAAUAUUACAAUGACAUGAAUCCGACCUAUAGACGUAUUUUAGAUUGUUUCUACACAAAUAUAUAGAACAUAUUUUAGAUUGUUUCUCAAACUUUAAAAUUUCCUAGAACAAUUAUAUUAAUAAAUAUAAAAGCCUUUUUUAUAUUUAAUUGAAACCUGUUUUAUAUUGCCAUUGUUUACAUGUAAUAUAUUAGUAUUUCAAAAAAAAAACUGCAAAAAAUACUUAAAUAGCAGAACAUACUUUUAUACUGGAUUAUUUUUCAUGUGAAGGACAAGGUCUAUCUACUAAUAUGUACAGUUUUUAUAAGAUUAUAGUAUGUUAUUUAUCCAUAGCUUUUUAGUUGAUAUUUAUAAUAGCUCAUGCAUCUCUGCUUCUAAAUGAAGUAAAUUGCAAAUUAAAAUAAAUAGUAUACGGUAGAAGUCAAUAGAAGAGGAUUCUAUAUGGUCCCCAUAUACUAAUACAGACUAGUUUUGUGCAGCUUUUAGUCACUUUACAACAAGGAGGAUGGGAAGGCAGCUGCUCAAAAAUGAAGAUUUUUAGUCACUUUUUAUUUUUAAAUCUUCAUCUAUGCUUGCUUUUGGAUUGACUUAUGUAAGGAUAUAUAGUUUAUAAGUUGGUACUAUAGUCUGGUUUCUAUGUAUCUUUCAAUUUGAUGACUCAGUUUGUACUUUGCAUUCUAUUUUUGUCAAUUUCAAGUUAAGAAAAUUUUAAAG
rnacentral:lncRNA from 1 species